UCAGUUAGUGCAAACAGCAACACCACAGGGCUCCUUUUGUGCAAAUGUUGGGGCUUUGCAUUUUUAUUAACAUUUUUUUUUUCUUCACAUGGUUUACAGCCAUUUAAAGUUUAUAAUCUACAGAAAUUGAAACAGAACACAAACAAAAAUAUAUCCUUAACAACUUCUGAAAGUCAAAUAUUAAUUAACAGUUCUAUUCUACCUGUAGCUGCAGAAGUCCACCCCCCCUGCCUUUCCUUCCUGCAGGAACAAACAAAAGCCCGUCACAGGGAUUUGGCCGCAGCCUGUUGUGCUGGGGCUGUGCGGCGCGGGCCUGCAGCCACCGUCACGCGGGGGGGAUUUUGGCUGUACAGAGUCUCCAUCUGGAAUGACACUACGGUGGACAGAGACUUGGACACACGUAACAACUCGGACACACACAGGGAUCCGCUGUGCAGUCAGAUCUUAACGCUCGGCCUCCUUACUGGGUCCAGGGCCAAGACAGACGCCUGGUUCUUUUCUGCGCUGCUGUUUCCCUUCUGGUUAGCUGGUAGUCGAGAGGAGCAGGGUCUGGAGUGUGAGCCCUUUAGAGGGGGACUGAAAGGCUUCCCCUCGGGUAGUUGCUUUGCUGGUGGGGGGCUGGCAGCUGCUGCCUUCCCCGGGGAGGUGGGCUUAGGACAUACCUGGAGCAUCGGCCGGGCUUUACCUGGACCAGUCUGCUGGUCGGGGGGGGAAAGGCAACGCUGCCGGCAGCAGGGACACGCUUGGUCACUUCUCAUCAUCUCCCUUUGGCACAGGAGCGCACCGGGCCAACGCAAUCGAGGAGGGGGCUUUUCCCCACGAGAACACAGACUCGGCUCACAGAGCCAAAGGUUUUGUGUCCCAGCAGGUACCGGCAGCUCCCCGGCAGCGUGGGAGGGCAGGGGACGGAGCCAGGCGCUGGGGGGCAGCCGGGGCACAGCCUCGAGCACCCUGCCACGAGACACAGCACGGCCACUCCGGCUGUCAGCCUGGGGUCAAGAGCUGGAGCCAUCCAACAACUUAGCGAGAGCACUUCUGCCUCCGGUAGCAAGGGCCAGGCCAAACAGAGCCCACCGGGGCUUUCCUCCCCCAUCCCUGAGCCAAGGAGGGAAACAAAACCUC
rnacentral:lncRNA from 1 species